ACAUACACAUAAACAAAGACAUAUAUGCUGAAGGAAAACACAAGAAAACUAAAGACAUCAACUACACAUUUCCUCUCAGUAAAUACAUAAAUUUCAUCAAUCCUAUUAUUAAUCACGUUAAAUGAAAAAAGGGAUCUAAAGAUUAACCCUUUCAUCUCCAACAUGCAAACGAAACAAACCACCGACAACAAAGCUACAAAACACGAUUUAACAAAAAAAACAUAUUUUUCCAGACAGAAAUCCACCUUCUUAAUUGACUGAACCCAAUGUGCAAAUCCAGAGUUUUGAUUUGUUUAUUUUCUUCAUUUGACUUGUGUUAAUUAAAUUUUGUUUCUGUGAGAUUGUUUGACUGAAUACCUAAGGGGUGGGAAGAGAUUAAUUGUUCGAUUUGAAUGUUGUGAGAGCUAGGGAUAGGAAGUAUGAAAAUCCUAAAGCUGAAUCUGAAAACCCCUGGACAGGAAAACCCAAAAUAGAGCAAAAAUCAAUGGGGGAAAAGUAUCGUUUACCACCCGCGCAUCCACUUGGACCGCUCAGGCGGCGGCAUCACAGAUUAGACUUUUAAACUCGCAGCCCAAGCGGGCUUGGCCCACCUUCACUCCUUUUAACCCUAAGGGUCUCGUCCAAGCCUCCACUUUCAGAUUCCCCUCAACCUUGCCUCUCUAAACACUUCUCCCAAGUGCCCUAUUCACUCUCCCCCUCUCCUCUUUCACAAAACCCUAAGUUUCCACCACUUUGCAUCAUCCAAGAAGCCAAGUUUGGGGUUUUUGAAAGGGUAGCAGCUAGUAUCUUGCUUUCCGUCCAAUAGAUUGUGCAUUCAUUGUUGAUUCCUUGCUUCCAUCCAAGUAAGUCAUGAAAAUUCAUGUUCUAAUCUUCCCAUUGAUGAAAUGUUGAUGAAGAUGCAUGUUCUUGAAAGGGGUUUGAUGUUUAAUGAUGAAAUUGAUUGAUUUUUUAUGUUGGGUGUUGCUCAAACUUGUUUUGCCCCUGUUUUGACCAAUUAAAGUGUGUCAAUUUUGGCUGGGAUUGGGUUAAAACUGUUUUGGAAAGUGAAAACUCAAGCAAACCCUCGCUUGGCAGCACCGUUCACCGCCCGAGCACCCCCUCUGGCCGCCCGGGAGGCGGACGUCUAUGGCAGCACCCCUGUUUUUCUGUUUUCUGGCGGUCUGACCCUAUGCAGUUGGCACU
rnacentral:lncRNA from 1 species